CUGGUGACCAUUUAUUUUCGCAGCCCGUGGCCUCCCUGCUUGCACUCCUUGUACCCUAAUGGACCUUAGAACAGGUGAGGCUUUUCCAAAUGGACCAUGAGAAGGAGCGCUGUGCAUGAGCAGAGGCAUUCUUCAGACACACAGUGUGUGAUGGCUGCAGGACACAAGCAAGGCACAGGGUAGAAAGUAAACAGACCACGGGAAGUUCCUGGAUGAGUUGUCUCAGGCUCCCAGGCCUCCCAGGAUCCCAGCCUGCCCUUUCGUUUCCUCAUAAUCUUCUUGAAUCCGAAUCUUACCAUCAUAAUUUUGAAGGUAUGAGGUCUUCUGACUGUUACAGGGUUAUAGUGUAGGAAGCUUGCCAGUGAUCAUGGGAAGCUGGAGUAUGUUUCAGUGACAGCUCUCCAUUAUGGGGUAAGAUCAGUCUGCACUAAUAGAAUAGUGAAUUCUGGAAUAUUUUAAAGAGAAGAGGCCUCAGUGUUUUUUAGUACACAAAGAAAGUUUGGGCAACUGCUAAGGAGACUUUGCUGGGUUACUUCAAUUAAGGCAUACGUGAUUGCAAAAAAAAAAAUAUAUAUAUAUAUAUAUAUAUAUGUAUGUAUAAAUAAAACAAAAUUUAAUUUAAUUUAUAUAUAUUUAUAUAUACAUAUAUAUGCCAAUAUUAUGUGCAAUAGCUAUUCUUAAACUUUAGUAAACUCAUGAAUCACCCAGAAAUCUUGCUAAAAUACACAUUCCUAGGUUCCAUCCCCAGGGAUCCUGAUUCAGAAGUUUUGGGGUAUAGCUCAGGAAUCUUGCAAUCUCUCUCCCCAUAAUUCUCUUUGAGGGAAUGUUGAAAAUGUUGCUAUAGGCAUUCAUUGAACCACACCAAUGUAUGAAUUUUAAGUUUUAUUUUCAUACGGAGCAUCAUUGUUAGAAAAAUACUUGCUGCCUUAAAAAAGUUUAGUAUAACCCCUACCAUCUCAUUUACGCCAUUAAUUCUUCUGGUAAAUUAUUUCUAUAAAACAUAGAUGUAAAAGUUAAUGUAGCCUGAUCCAGACUGAAUUACUGCAAAUUGCUCUAAGAAUGGAUGAAAUGCAAAUUAAUGGGAUUUCUGUAAAUGCUUGUUUUUUUCCUAAUAUUCUAUGGUAGUCAGUUAUGAUAUAUAGUCAAAUAUUUAACUGUUUUAGUUAUUUUAGCAUGUUAACUUAAAGGCUAUUUUCACAGUAGCUAAGAGAAGGAGAAGAGUUGACAAUCACUUUAGUAACUUUUGCCUUAGUGGACCAAGUUCAGCAGAAGAAAGUGGAUAUGAGCUAGAACUGACCAGAUGAGUGCUUCAGGAUACCCAUGAGCACAUUCAGAUGGCAUCUCUUUUACCAGGGAUAUGACAACAACAAAAUCUGCUUCAUGAUUUCGGGCAUCUAAACAUCCAAAUCUAAACAACGACAAUAAUGAUAAUAGCUAAUAUCAGUCAAGGCCUUUCUAGGUGCCAAGUACUUUGUGUGCCUUAUUUCAGACUGUCUUCACAACAUUCCUAUAGCUGGAUCCUAUAUCGACCAGUUUACAGAUGAAGAAAUUCAGAUUCAAUUGCUCAAAGUCCCACAGCUAGAAAGUGACACAGCUAGAGUCUGACUCUGAAGCCCAAGAGACUGCAGCUGAGUCUGUCUGUACCUGAGAAAGAAUCCAGUCUCUUCCUGCUGGUCUCCUCCACCAGUGGUACCUUCACUGGAGGCACAAACCAGCUGGCUAAAGUGUGCAGCUUGAAGAGCUGAUGGAGAACGAAGUGGUGCACAGAAAAUAACUGUCCAGAUCAUUUUCUUUAGGAAAAAGGACAAAAUCCCUUUUAACUUUUACUUCUGAUACAGUUUUGCAAACAUAGUUCGGCCCGGUUGCCACAGAGCCCAACUCUGUUAGCAUUCCUUCCAGGUACAACAGCUGCUUUGGGCAGCCUGUUCAUUAGACUCCCCCACGGAGAAAAACUUUAGCGGAGUGGGGGUGGGAAGAAUCAAAAUGAGAUUAGAGA
rnacentral:lncRNA from 1 species